UCGGGAAUUUUGGGCAAUGGGCGAAAGCCUGACCCAGCAACGCCGCGUGAGGGAUGAAGUAUUUCGGUAUGUAAACCUCGAAAGAAUGGGAAGAAUAAAUGACGGUACCAUUUAUAAGCCCCGGCUAACUACGUGCCAGCAGCCGCGGUAAUACGUAGGGAGCAAGCGUUGUUCGGAUUUACUGGGCGUAAAGGGCGCGUAGGCGGCGCGGUAAGUCACUUGUGAAAUCUCUGAGCUUAACUCAGAACGGCCAAGUGAUACUGCUGUGCUAGAGUGCGGAAGAGGCAACCGGAAUUCUUGGUGUAGCGGUGAAAUGCGUAGAUAUCAAGAGGAACACCUGAGGCGAAGGCGGGUUGCUGAGCCGACACUGACGCUGAUGCGCGAAAGCCAGGGGAGCAAACG
rnacentral:rRNA from 1 species